rnacentral:lncRNA from 1 species
GCGAGACAGCGUGAUCUGGCACAGAGGGACACUCUCCUGAGGCAGUUGGGCAUGGUCGAUGCCAUCCAGAGUCUCUUACGGCCCAAAACGUAUCACCCCACGCCAGCAAAGACUCACCGCCCAAUCCGCCAAAAAUGGAAGCUACAACUCCGGGAGCCACUUCUUUACACCACCUACAGUUGUCCUGAAGCACAUACAGGGCAGCAAUUCAACUUGCCAAGACUGUGCCAGCAGCAAACAAAACUGGCUACGGGUACCAGGUCGGGUGGGCUCUCCGUGUGUGUGAUCAAACUGGCCCUGCAUGAGAAGCAGGAACACAGACAACCGACAUUGCCACUGAUAACUGGACGCUCUGUAGACCAGUGGCGUUGCAGUCUUAAACUCUCAGCAUCUCAGGAGAGCGAUGAGGACUUAAGUCGAGGACAUAUGACUGAAUCACACAACUCUCUCUCGUUCAGCUCGGUGGAUGAAGAAGUUCUGCUGGAAGCAGAGCACUCGGAAGCCAAAGACCCCAAACCCAAAAGGUUUGACUGACCCGGAUGAAACUCACAGAUGGACACCACAUCUGAUUGCAUAAGCUCUGUAGAAUCCACAGAAUCCAACUAUUUUUGUGGUUAAAAUAUGUUAGCAUUUUCUUUACUCUCUCUCUUUGUGAUUGUGUGUGUGUUUCAAUGAAAUAAAAAAAAAUAAUAGGAAUGAUGGAAAUGUGAC